UCCAUGACGGAAUGCAUAACGGAAUGCCUUUAGAGGCAAUCCGUUAUUUAUUCCGUCAUAAUAGAAGUCUAUGGGCUGCAAACGGAUUCGUCCUGUUUCCAUUAUGCAGGGGAGUCCUCUUCCGUUUCCGUUAUGGAAAUGGGAUGGAUCGGUUAUGAAGGCCAUAGACUUCUAUUAUGACCGGAUAAAUAACGGAAUGCCUCGAAGAUAGCAUAGUCUGCCAUUCCAUACUUUGUUUUUUUGCAGUAUACCAUCAUAUAUCAACCAACAGAGGACUCUGUUAGGUUAAGGGGGUCUACUGAAUUGUGUUUUUACUUCCUGUGCCUGCUCCGAUCCAGCAUCGCCACCCUGUCCUUUUUUUCCCCGGGCUGCAGCAAGUGAUUUGUUGUUGUGGCUGCAGCUGUGACCUCCUGUAUACCACUGCAGUCAAUCAGUGGCCUCAGUGUUCUUGUGUCAUACAGCCCUGAGGCCAGCUGCAGCAGUAUACAGGACGUCACCAUGUUACAGUUCUUUGCACGUUUAUGUCUGGGUAUUUAGGGUAGAUGUAAGGUUGCGGACAAAUCUUCAGAUAACAC